GAAAGGUUUACUGGUGUCAGGAUGUAUCAAUAUGUCGGCAGAGGCAAACCGCUGUUUGAGAGUUUCAAAGGCUUCUAUCACCUCCUUAGACCAUAUCGUAGUGCUAACCCCCUUGCGUGUCAUAUUGGUGAUGGGGGCUAUUACUGAAGAAAAUCCCUUUAUAAACCUUCUGUAAUAAUUGGCAAAACCAACGAACCUUUGAAUGGUUUUCAACCGAGCGGGUAAAGGACAUUGUAGAAC